rnacentral:rRNA from 1 species
CCUACGGGAGGCAGCAGUGGGGAAUAUUGGACAAUGGGCGAAAGCCUGAUCCAGCCAUGCCGCGUGUGUGAAGAAGGCCUUCGGGUUGUAAAGCACUUUCAGUGGGGAAGAAAGCCUUGGGGCUAAUACCCUCGAGGAAGGACAUCACCCACAGAAGAAGCACCGGCUAACUCCGUGCCAGCAGCCGCGGUAAUACGGAGGGUGCGAGCGUUAAUCGGAAUUACUGGGCGUAAAGCGCGCGUAGGCGGUCUGAUAAGCCGGUUGUGAAAGCCCCGGGCUCAACCUGGGAACGGCAUCCGGAACGGUCAGGCUAGAGUGCAGGAGAGGAAGGUAGAAUUCCCGGUGUAGCGGUGAAAUGCGUAGAGAUCGGGAGGAAUACCAGUGGCGAAGGCGGCCUUCUGGACUGACACUGACGCUGAGGUGCGAAAGCGUGGGUAGCAAACAGGAUUAGAUACCGUUGUAGUC